GCUCCAUCGGGCAGAGCGCGUGCAGCCGCCGAGCACAUGGACCCGCUGGUCGAGCGGGCUCGGCAAGGCCAGGAUGAAGAGGAGCUGCGAACCAGGAUGCGACCCAGUGCCCUCAAAGCCCCCCGAGUGGAUAUUCACGCGGAAAGGAUGUUGGCAGUCCGGGUGACCUGGGAGUCAUGGCUGAAUCCACCUUCCCGAAGAGAUGACAGCAGGAUCACUUGAAGAUGCAAACCAACCCCAUGUCCUGAGGAAAACAGCCCUGUGCCAUUUUAUGGAUUAGUCCCGAGUCUGAGGUCAGGUACUUCAGGUAUGUUCACGGAUGCUGAAUGGAGUGACAAAAUGUGUGGGCCAAAGUGCAAGUGUGUUCAGGCUGCCCCGAAGUCAUGUGAUGCACCCUGGCUGAGCCCUGCCAGAAACGCUUGGAGUCUUCCUGCUUUUGUUUUGACGCACGACCUUAGCAUGACUGUGGUAAGAAGAUGCUCUCCAGAAGACUGUGCUUGUGGAUGACAUGGAGCCCCACCUGGGGAUUUCCUGAACCCUGUGGAUUUUACAGUGAGAUGCACUUACCUGAGGAGUGAUGUUGGUGGAUGCGGAUUCUGGAAGAACUCACCUGGCUUGCCUUGGGAUGCUACAAGUGGCCUAAUGGAUUCUUCCAGGCUGGAUGCCCACUGGAGACAAGGACAAUAGCUGAAAAUACAGAAAAGACUGUAUCUCAACCUUCGACUCAAUGCGAAUAUUUGCUCUGAUCUCCCUGGCAACUUGGAACUCCUUCAAAACGCUUUGGGGAAGGCACAUUUUUUUUCCACACUGACAAGCCUGGGACUUUGCAUAGGAAAUUAAGAUCCAGACCAAGGAUGAUGACCAAAGACUGAGGCCCCAAUCGCAAAGUGCAAAGUAUCCUUGGACUUUCCGGAUGCAUACCCGUUAAGCAUUCCAGAAGGAUUUGAGGAUCAUCCUGUUCUAAAAUAAAGCUGGAGUAUUUGGGGAUUUGGAAAAUUAAGGAUCACCUGUAUGCACACCGUUGUCCCAGACUUUGUGUCUCUAUGUCUCUGCUUCCGAAGAACCUUGUCAAGGGCGCAAAAGAGGGAUAAAAAGUGACUAUGGCGGAAACUAGAUGAGCGUCAUCACAGACCAAGAUGCCCGCUGUCACGUCCGUGGGACAAUCAGACCUGUGUUGCUUGCCCAGCUCACGCAGUCAGCUGCCUCCGAUUAUCAAACAUGAAUAUGUGGCACCUGGACACCAGGUGCCUCACGUGUGUUGGCAGCCUCCCCAAGGCUGUGAGACAAGAUCCCUGUCUCUGGGAACCUCAUCUUUCCACAUCAGCCGCGAUGUUGUGGUAUGUGACUGAGUGGCAGAUUCCCGUCAUUCCUCUGUGCUCCAGGAUCAGAUGAGAAGCAUCUACUUAGAAAUGCCAAGUAACUCGGCUGAUAAAUAGCAAAGACAGAAGUCUUCAGGCUGGAGGCAAUUCUGUGAGACAGUUGAGCCCUCCUGAGCUGGUAGGAGAUUGAUGGACUUACACAGAAGAUAGAUCCAGCCAUGCCGUUGGUCCUACGAGAAGGAGACACUCUUUCCAGAAGACAUAGAACAUUCCUGAACCUGGGAAAGAUGCCUGGAAACUGGGAGAGGAGGGAAGAGAGCACUUCCCCCUCCUGCCUGGGCAUCUCCCACCAUACUCAAUUCUUUUCACCAGGUCACGACUGAGCUGUCCUCGUUCAGUCUUGGUUUGAUGGAAUAUUAGUCUGAAAAUUUUACUUUCAAUUAAACUCACUAGUUGAACCAC